UACGUAGGGGGGCAAGCGUUGUCCGGAAUCAUUGGGCGUAAAGAGCGCGUAGGCGGCCCGAUAAGUCCGCUGUGAAAGUCAAGGGCUUAACCCUUGAAUGCCGGUGGAAACUGUCGGGCUAGAGUCCGGAAGAGGCGAGUGGAAUUCCUGGGUGUAGCGGUGAAAUGCGCAGAUAUCAGGAGGAACACCGAUGGCGAAGGCAGCUCGCUGGGACGGUACUGACGCUGAGGCGCGAAAGCUAGGGGGAGCGAACGGG
rnacentral:rRNA from 1 species